rnacentral:tRNA from 1 species
GGAGAUAUACUCAAGUUGGCUGAAGAGGCGCCCCUGCUAAGGGUGUAGGUCGGGAAAUCGGCGCGAGGGUUCGAAUCCCUCUAUCUCCU